rnacentral:rRNA from 1 species
UACGUAGGGUGCGAGCGUUGUCCGGAAUUAUUGGGCGUAAAGAGCUCGUAGGCGGUGUGUCACGUCGGCCGUGAAAACCUGCAGCUUAACUGUGGGCGUGCGGUCGAUACGGGCAUCACUGGAGUUCGGCAGGGGGAGACUGGAAUUCCUGGUGUAGCGGUGAAAUGCGCAGAUAUCAGGAGGAACACCGGUGGCGAAGGCGACAUCCUGGACCGGUAUUGACGCUGAGGCGCGAAAGCCAGGGGAGCAAACGGGG